rnacentral:sRNA from 1 species
CCCUCCCCCCUUAUUUUCUUUCAAUUCCCUUUAUCAACACUCCCAAAUGUAUAGCGACCUCUGAUCUUCAACAGCUGAAGCAACCGAAAUAAGUUGAUUUACACUCAUAAUUAUUGAAUGGAUGAAUAUAAAAUGAUAGAAACUUAUUGAUUUGAUUGAUGUUAGCUAAAGUGGACCAUAUCAUUUGUACCAAUGUCCAAGGUCUCCCAAGUUCGUGGUGAAAUAUGUUAUAUAUUUUCAUACAUAUAUUAUACGCAACGAUUGAUACAGCACAUAGCCAAUCUCAACCAUGUGCGACUGCUCCCCAA